AUAANUACAUGCAUCUCAAGUAAAGCAUAAAAGAGAAGCUGCAGAGAGCAUCCAAUUAUUACUAGAUAACUGCUGUUCAAGAAUGAAAGACUCCUACAAAUGGUCAUUUGCCCUUUGACACUAUUUGUCAGUCUUCUGCAAAAGCUUCUCAAAGAUGAUAUCAUUGAUAGAAAACAAUGUUGAAAAGAUAGGUAGCAGAGUUUAGAAUCUGAUAGUAGAGAGCAAGAUAACAAGUACGCCAAAUAUAAUCAUCUCUCUUUCCUCAAAUAUGCUUUGCCAGCAACAAUAUUACAUGGCUAUGGAUAUAUCAAGCAUGGUGACACCUAAACAUCCUGAGAGAGGAGAUUAACACUAUAUCUGACAACUCCCAGGACAAAAGGGGACAUGGUGACUCCAAACAACAAAAUAAACACAAUGCAAUAAUAUGCUGAAAUGUUCUUGAAGAUGUUUUUAAGGAUGCUACCACUUGUAAGUAUCGCCUUUAUUCAACAUUCAUACAUAUUUAAAAUUUCUAUAUGUUGAGGUCUUCAAAUUUUGGGGACUCAAAAUUCUUCCAUCACAAUAUUCCAUAACAAUUAAGUGUUUGUGCAAUGAGAGAAAAAUCGGCCAUGUUCGACAAUCAGAAUGACUUUAAAAUAACCAUCACAUUUUUCAGUUGACAAGCUGCUCUAUGACAUGCAAAUCCACACUUAUAUUUGAUUACAUCAAUACAUAUAUCACCAGAAUACCCGAACAAAAAACAAAAUUUGUUAAUUCCAAAUUCUUGUAUCCACAAGAAGCACCUAUUUGUGCAGUAAAACAAAAUCAAGUCUUGUUCAACAAUCAGAGAGCCUUGGAUACAAAAUUGUAACUUGGCUCCAAAACUAUGGACGGCAUCCCAUUACUCCAUCGUUUAUAGACUAUAAAGUUAAGUCCAUACACAUAAAAAUCAUCCUAACGUGUCAUGGUAAAGAAAAAAUACAACUUCACAAGUACGGAACUCACACUAUCACCGUCACACAAAUAAAAAUGAAGAUGUCAAACCAAAAAUGAAAUCGAAUAUUUUGAGAACUCAAAAAAGGGUUUUACAGAACCCAUGUCUAAAAAAAGGCUUACAGUUUAAAAAAAAUAAAAAAUAAAUCCCAACAUCGAGAACAGAUCAAGAAAUGUAAAGUUAGACACAGAUAUAGGAAAGUUAAAAAGCUGAAUUCUUCAGAAAUCUUGAAAUCUCGCUCUAUGUACAACCAUGUGCACAUGUAAAAACUUACAUAUAUACCCAUAUAUAAUACCAGUGAAAGAGAGAGAAUUUACGGAACGAGAUCUGAAGAAAUGAUUAUCAACAAAACGUCGAUUCGUCCGAUGAUUUCUGAAUUAAUUCUAUACAUUUGCAAAAAAAUUUGUUGCCGAGAUUUUGUUCAUGUCGAGACGGGAUAUUGGUAAUGAGGGGGAGAGGGUAUGAAAACAAUUAAUACGUAUGUUAAAUUGGUAAAGACGAGGGAGGGGAUAUAUUGGUAAAAUGAUUCAUUGGUACGUUAAAUUUAGCACGACUGAUCUCAGAACAACAACA
rnacentral:lncRNA from 1 species